rnacentral:lncRNA from 1 species
AACACAUCAGCGGAAGAAGACAAAAGCAGCUGGUCUUGGAGAAUCCGCCAGGGGAAGAGCACACUGGCAGGCACCGCAGGCCAUCGAUCGUCAGAAAGACACGGAGUUUGGCCAGAAUUAUCAGAGAAGAGUUUGGCCAGAGGGGUCAGAGAAGACUCCAGCGGAAAACCAUCUCCCCUGUGACUCCAGAAUCUUCUGAGAGCUACUUCUACUUAAUAAAACCUUGCACUCAUUCUCCAAGCCCACAUGUGAUCCGAUUCAUCCAGUACACCAAGUGUCCAGGGACAUCUAGAUGAUAGAAGUUCCUUCAGAUGGGUCCCUGGUGUGAGGGUGUCCUGUAUCAGACUGCCUAUUGAAGUUCAACCUGUGGUUCAAGACAGGAUCUCAUUCAGAAUACUACUUUCAUUCAGGCUGGAGUGCAGUGGCAUGAUCUUAGCUCUCUGCAACUUCCGCCUCCUGGGCUCAAGCGAUUCUCCUGUCUCAGGCUCCGGAGUAGCUGGGACUACAGGCAUGCGCCACAACACCAG